rnacentral:rRNA from 1 species
AUACGAAGGGUGCAAGCGUUAAUCGGAAUUACUGGGCGUAAAGCGCGCGUAGGUGGUUUUGUAAGUUGGAGGUGAAAGCCCCGGGCUCAACCUGGGAAUUGCCUCCAAAACUGCAUGACUAGAGUACGGUAGAGGGUAGUGGAAUUUCCUGUGUAGCGGUGAAAUGCGUAGAUAAAGGAAGGAACACCAGUGGCGAAGGCGACUACCUGGACGGAUCCUGACACUGAGGUGCGAAAGCGUGGGGAGCAAAAAGGAUUAGAUACCCGGGUAGUCCACGCCGUAAACGAUGUCAACUAGCCGUUGGGAUCCUUGAGAUCUUAGUGGCGCAGCUAACGCAUUAAGUUGACCGCCUGGGGAGUACGGCCGCAAGGUUAAAACUCAAAUGAAUUGACGGGG